rnacentral:snoRNA from 1 species
GAGCCCUGUGCGUGGCCUGUCCGUCUGGCGGCGGCUGACGGGCUCCAUUCCAGAGCCAUAGCAGGUCAGUGACGGGACUGACAGGCUCACUGGUGGCUCGGUCUCAGGCCUUGGAGACGAGC